GGCGAUAGUAAGCACCGCCUCUGCCACGACCUUAUCGCCUCCAUCUGCACUGCGCUCGCCCGCGCCCGCUCCUAGUCCUCCUCCUCCGACGUCAACACCGACAAAUGCAAAGGAAGAGAAGGUGACGCUACCCUCGUUACCGUUGUCGAUCGCCGCGGAGACGAUGGAGGAGAGUUGGAGAGGAAAAAAAGAACGAGAGAGAAAUAAAAAGGAGAGAGAAAAAGGAAUAAGAAUAUUUUGGUAAGUAUACUGAAAAUUUUAAAUUAAUCUGCAAAAUUCAAAAAAAUAAUUCAUUUUUUG
rnacentral:lncRNA from 1 species